GUGGAAUUUCGAAAGAGAGGGGAAGGGAAGAAAGCGUGAAGUCACACGGUCACGUGGCCAGAGACAAACAAGGAGGAAGGGGAAGAAUAAAGGG